AUAUUUCUGUAUAGACAUUACACAUUAAACAGUAUUAUAAGGAAGCUAACUUUAUUUUUUAAAUACACUUGAAUUUAGAAAAUUCAAUACCGAAGAGAAUAAAAUUCCUUGUAGAAAUCGCUCUUCCUGUUGUGAAAGUUUCAGAAAGACAAUACAGUGGAAAAGUUGGUACACAGGUGACUCUGCAAAACGUGACGUUGUGGCAAAUCCGCCUGAAACCACUGUCUAUUGGAUAUUAGAGAACAAAGGAGGGAUGGAAUUACCAAUUCCACCGUCUGGAGUUUGGUUCGUUAGGUACGGUGAAAAUGAUUUAGUCUUUCAUACCAGAUUGGUUUGUUAUGAAGACAUCAAUGGAAAAAGAGUCAUUGAAGGUUAUGGAGUUGAUAAUAACACACCUUUCAGUAUACAUGGCACCUGGUAUGUUGAUAACAGAAUAAUGCAAUUCAUUAAGCAGUUCCAUGGAGGUCACACAGAGCAUUAUUUUGCAGAACUGUCAGGAAACAGAAGAACUGCUUCUGGGCAUUUUGGCAAUUCUAUUAUCUUCAAUAUGAAUUUUUUAGCACAAUAGACUUGUUUAUAUCAAAGAUUGUUUUUGAUGACACAACACCCUAUGCAUCAUUCUUUGAGUUCUUGUAUCUAUUCAAAUUGAAUAAAUAUUCACUAUU